GGUGAAGAGAGAUAUACAGCCGGUGAGAGAGGACCUUUGGAAACAGGUUAUCGUGCACAACGUCUUUUUUUUUUGUUAAGAUCUUGUCUUAGCGAAAUAUAAUAUAUGCCCUCCGUGCACAUAAGUGUUUUCUGCUGCUCGCGCAUGAAGCUCCUGCCCUGCCAACCGGUGAAGUUGGGUUCGUGGGCUUACAUCUUCUCGGUUUCGUGGGCUUACCUCUUCGCGGUCAGUCUCGUUCUCAUCAGGAGAUGAGGACGAGAAAGAGAAGAGGGACAACGUCGAUCGAACAGAUAAGAAGGGGGAACGAGAUAAGGAGUGGGGCGGGGGGCACAAAAAAUUCCUCCACCAAGACUGACCCCGCAGACCGUUAGACAUGUUUAGGCACGAAAAAGUUAACCGCAAAUUUGGAACAAGGUGUUUUUUAGGAAACUAGCAUGGUGGCCCACGCGAAAUGCGCGGGCUAGACCUGAUGAUCAUUGUUGUAUUAAUUUUUUUUUCGUGUGCUGAUGACUUUUUUCUUUGUACAUUUUUUAUUCCAUGUCAUACUGGUAUGUUCCCUUUGUUCGGCUUAAUAAGGCCCGCAUGGGAUUUUAUGCAGGACUUUGGCGACACAUUAGAUAUCGUUAUAUUCGUUUUGAAAAACUCUAUCAAUGGUAUAAAGUCAUACAUACAAUAUUAUUUUUUUGUAUAAUUGUUUGUCAAAGUUCAGCGCAAAAUUCAAUGCAGUACUUAUAAAUCCGGAUGGAGGGAGUAUAAUUCACU
rnacentral:lncRNA from 1 species